ACGGUCAAAUCACGCUGAAAACACCGGUUCUCGUUCGAUCAUCGAAGUUAAGCAUCGUAGAGCCAGGUCAGUACUUAGAUGGGGGACCGCUUGGGAACACCUGGUACUGUAAG
rnacentral:rRNA from 1 species